GGCCCCAUAGCUCAGCAGGAUAGAGCGAUCGCCUCCUAAGCGAUAGGUCGCCGGUUCGAUUCCAGCUGGGGUCA
rnacentral:tRNA from 1 species